CAGGUAGGGAUACCCGCUGAACUUAAGCAUAUCAAUAAGCGGAGGAAAAGAAACCAACAGGGAUUGCCUCAGUAACGGCGAGUGAAGCGGCAACAGCUCAAAUUUGAAAUCUGGCUCUUUCAGGGUCCGAGUUGUAAUUUGUAGAANANGCUUUGGGUGUGGCUCCGGUCUAAGUUCCUUGGAACAGGACGUCAUAGAGGGUGAGAAUCCCGUACGUGACUGGGUGCCUUCGCUCGUGUAAAGCUCUUUCGACGAGUC
rnacentral:rRNA from 1 species